GUAAACGGAAGCUGGAAGGUGGCGGUGGUCUUUAUAGCCCAGUAUCUUGCAGGUGUUCCUAGGUGGGACGGGCCCUGGCGAGAGCGCGUGGUGUCAAGAAGUCUUGGAAGACUGGAGUUGGACUAAUGGGAAAUCGAUUUAAGUCAUUGGACUUGGAGUCUGACCCUCAACAAGUCAGCUGGAGAUAAUGGAAAUUGAUACUAAAAUCUUGGUGGAAGAGGAACAAGAAAUGCAUUACUUUGCCUUUUCAAAUAGUUUGCAUGGAUACUGUUUAUUUUUCCGCCUAAUUUGCCAUUUGGCAGGGUCUGAUGCAUAAAUAAUAAAUUAGGUUGUUAUUAAUUACUGUUUUAAUUAAAAAGAAUAUAUUGGCUUUGCAA